GAUGAAGAACGUAGCGAAAUGCGAUAAGUAAUGUGAAUUGCAGAAUUCAGUGAAUCAUCGAAUCUUUGAACGCACAUUGCGCCCGUCAGUAUUCUGGCGGGCAUGCCUGUUCGAGCGUCAUUACGCCCCUCAAGUCCCCUGUGGACUUGGUGUUGGGGAUCGGCGAGGCUGGUUUUCCAGCACAGCCGUCCCUUAAAUUAAUUGGCGGUCUCGCCGUGGCCCUCCUCUGCGCAGUAGUAAAACACUCGCAACAGGAGCCCGGCGCGGUCCACUGCCGUAAAACCCCCCAACUUUUUAUAGUUGACCUCGAAUCAGGUAGGACUACCCGCUGAACUUAAGCAUAUCAAUAAGCGGGAGGA
rnacentral:misc_RNA from 1 species